rnacentral:misc_RNA from 1 species
AAACAACUCGAGCCGCGGUUUGCCAAAAGCCAAGGCUCGGUCUUGGGUGCGAGGGACCGUGUUCGGGCCCCCCUCCGCCCGCAAUCCAGUGGCGGACGCCCCGUCGGCCGAGAGCGUGAUGAGCACCUCAAACGCUGCUGGCAGCCGGGAAGGUCCCGCCGUAACCCCCAAACAGAGUACAAUCUCCG